rnacentral:rRNA from 1 species
AGCGAACGCCGGCGGCAGGCCUAACACAUGCAAGUCGAACGGAUCCUUCGGGAUUAGUGGCGGACGGGUGAGUAACACGUGGGAACGUGCCCUUGGUUCGGAACAACUCAGGGAAACUUGAGCUAAUACCGGAUGUGCCCUUCGGGGGAAAGAUUUAUCGCCAUUGGAGCGGCCCGCGUCUGAUUAGCUAGUUGGUGGGGUAAAGGCCCACCAAGGCGACGAUCAGUAGCUGGUCUGAGAGGAUGAUCAGCCACAUUGGGACUGAGACACGGCCCAAACUCCGACGGGAGGCAGCAGUGGGGAAUCUUGCGCAAUGGGCGAAAGCCUGACGCAGCCAUGCCGCGUGAAUGAUGAAGGUCUUAGGAUUGUAAAAUUCUUUCACCGGGGACGAUAAUGACGGUACCCGGAGAAGAAGCCCCGGCUAACUUCGUGCCAGCAGCCGCAGUAA